ensembl:lncRNA
CAUACUUCUGUCAGAUUUCUUCUGAGCGCUGUGAGACACGAGACUGUCCACACCUUCCAGAUAAUGAGCUUAACAUUUCAAGGACAGAAGCUCUCAAACUGAGCAAGACGAGGGAAAGAUCUGCAGCUCUGAUUUGGAGCGGGUGCCAGUGGUGGCGGUGCUCUUCUAAGCUCCUUUGGCACCCUCUGUUUUAAGGUAAUCAAAAGCAGUAGUAAGAGAUGACGCAGAGCUCAAAGUCCCAUCGUUACUAUUGUUAUACAUAAACAGGACAUCGUUAUUAACAGUAGCUUAAAUUCUUUUCUCACUGUUGCUUGCUUUUAGAAUAAAUGUUAUGCCCUUUUGGCAUCUCAGGCUGGAGCUGGAAUCUCCUCUGCUCCCCUCCUGGCGCAGCUGUCUGCUCCACUCCAGCUCCACUUCUCCACAUCUGAGCAAUUUUUGUCUCCUGACAAUGUCCUCUCCUCCUCCAACCCUGGUUCCAGCUUCUAACAUCUCCUUCCAACUGCAUUUGUGACUUCUGCCUCAACUUUCCCCUUUUUGCCGUCGUUUAUAGCAUACUCUGUAUGUAAUAAAUGAGAGGAAGAUGAACAAGUUGAAGGAAUUUUUUGUUAGAAGUCUUAGUAUGUGUGUGCCCUAGGUCAUGGCAGAAGUAAGAAAAGAAAGAUUUUGUGGAGGGAAAAUUACAAAUUCUUGGUCAGUUUAAGAUGAUGGCUCACCAUUCAUGUCUAAAUGUAUAAUGGAAUUAUACUUUAGAACAAAACAAUUGCCUCACUUGACAUACAUUGUUAAAUUCCAGCCCAAUUUCUACAAAAGAGGAAGGGUUCUGAAACAAUUUUUUGUGCUCUUUUUCCCUACAGUAAGCUAAGCAUAUUUUCUUACAUUUGGUGUGCUUUACUGCAUAAUAAUACAUUUAUAAGAGCUCCCCUACCUGUCACUUUCUGGAAUUAUAAAACACAUGCACCCACCUGCACUCUACAAUACCAGUAUUUACAAGCUUGUAUAGGAAUUGCAAUAUUUUUCCUGCAAGCUUGUUCUGUAUUUUUCAUUUCCAGCUGCUAAUAGCUCAUGCAAUUUAGAAGAUCUUGAGGUGAAGGUGUGACUUAAACACAUACCAUAAAACUCUGAAAGUACCCACUGUAGUUCAGUGUAAAGGCUGUAUAGUUUAUUAUAUCUGCAUAUGCUCUAGAGCUCUAGUGACUGUUUAGAAUCACAGAUUCUUGGGUUGGAAGGGACCUUAAGGACCCGCCAGCCUCAACCCUUGCCGUGGGCUGGUUGUCACCAAGCAGAACAGGCUGUCCAGUUCCCCGUCAUCCGACAUGAAAUAUGAAGACCCCACUGCCACUACAGGGCUGCUUCUGCAAGUAAACUCUGGAUGCUCUUGCUGACUUCUCUGAAGUGAAAAUUGAAUCAAGUUGUUUUGCCCUUCUUCCUCCUUCUGCCAGCUCAGUGUCAAGCAUUUUCCUUCUCUUUUUAUGUCCUUAUAACCUAGAAGUCUAAUUCCAAGUCUUGAUCUUCCGUUUCCCUUCUCAGUUCCUUUCUCAUACUCCUGAACCUUUCAGUAUUCUCUCUAUUUCAGCUCACACGAUAAAGUGCUUUAUUUUUUCAAGUUGUGAGCAUUUCUUCUUGUCUACAUAUGCAUCUCUGGAAGCCUUGUUCCCUUUCCUCACUAGGCUUGCUCAGUUUUCUUUAUCCACUUCCUCUGUUCUGUGUACCCAACUAUACAUCUCACUGAAAUAACUCUCAACAAAACCUUUCCCUAUUUCUUCUUGGGCAAAACCUGAAAGCAGAAUGCCAGCCCCAGGCCCUUGACCCAUCAGCCACUUUUGACAUCAUUGCUUACUCUGUGAAUUCUGCACAUCUGUGACUCAGUCCUUCACUGAUGCUGCUCUUGUUGACUGAAGGCCCUUCACCUCCAUCCCCACCCUCCAAUUUUGUGUUGACUUUGCAGAUAGUAAUCCUUUGCCUCUUCUGCUCCCAUACUUUUCUCUUGGCAAUCCUGUCUAUGCAUACAAACCCAAGCAUCAUUGCUAUGACAGUGACUCACAAACCUAUUCUGAGCUUUCUUUUCUUUUAUCCAAAACUGUGUCUAUUUCUUUCAGAGUUUUAUUCAUAAUGAACAAACAGAAAAGAUGCUGAAUUUUCUGGCCCUCCACAAAACUAAAACUCUUGCAGAGGAUUGGGAUUGCUUGCUUUUAUUCAUGGAAACAUCCCAUUUUCUGGACAAAUUGGAUCAUAUGCUUGUGUUUUAAAAUUGCUCUGUAAAUGUGAUUUCCUUAAAUUAUUGGUGUGACCAAGUCACAUCUGUCUUGGCUACAUUCCUCUGGCAGCCCUUUUCUCAUGGCAGUUCUUCUGUUUCAUCAAAUUGUUUCACCAAACAGAAGCUACUCUUCGCUUUGAAGACAUCCUCCUAAUUCACAUACAUUGUACAGCUAUAGCAUGGUCUGCUGAAACCCUGCUGGCCAUACUCAAAUCAGAAUCAGUUCCUCUGGUGCUUCUCUUUUGGCAGCCAGCAUCAUUCCAGCACACAGCACAGGGGAAAAGCAGGCACACACACAGCCCUCUACUGCCUGUGGCAGCCAGAGCACCUCUCAGCCACACUGCCUCACCUGCUGACACAAUCCAUCAGCGCCCACCGAAAUCAAAUGCAGCUAAUUGGAAGGUGAUGACAGCCAAGGGACUGCUGGAUUUGCAUGCUAAUUCCUCUAUUUUAGCAUCCCACAGCCAGGCUACAGGCUCUGCUCCUUGCUUUCUGCAAGGUCCUCUGUUCAUCCCCUCAGGGCGGCAGCAGUGGCUCAUCUGGGCAGCUGGCUGCCUUGUGGAAGAACCCCAUUUUGGGACCUGCAACAAUAUCAGUGUUUGCGUCAAGAAAAAGGUGAGGGGUCCAUUGCCUAGUAGCUGAAUACAGCCCUUUCGUGGGAGGAGGUUCAUGUCUCCUUGCCCCAUCACAAUUUUUCUUUAAUUUUAAUUUUAACUUUUUUUUUGGAAGCAGGUUGAACUCUCUCCUGAGAAAGUCAGUCUGUCUGUAUGGAAGGAGCAAGACAAGCACUCAGACACAAGUCCCAGCUUGGCAGCUGCAGGGCUGGCAUUUGUUCCAUGUGCAGAAAAGCAAGACGAUGACAAAGCAUGAAAGCAGUGCUCAAGGAGCUCCUCAAAGAGAUGAAGACUGAGAUCUUACCGAUAAUAUGCCACACCCCAUAAAAGGAUCUUAGAUAUGGACAGACGAACUGGGAGCAUCUUGCCUCCCUGAUUCUUCCUUCCCUUUGUCCUCACACCCCUCCCUAGAACAGCACUCAGGCUUUCUCAAAAGCUGUGCAACCCAUUGAACAGGAGUGGUCCUAACUAUUAUGGAGAUCUUAAACUGCCAAAUUGAUACAAGCUAAAAUUGAUUGCCUGUGAAAGCUUGUGAAAUGAAGUGCUAGAAAGUGCAUAGAGAGAAACAGGGAAAGAGUGCUAAGGAAUUUGCUGCUUUAUGCUUCUUUUUUUUCCCUACUUUUCCUUUGCAUGCAACACCAUCAUUAUCUUUCCAAGCCAUCUUGCCUUAAUGAGUUCUGCAUCUCCCUCUCUCAAUAAUCAUUGGACUGUUUCUCCUGGUAUUUCCAACAUAAAAGGUAUUCUCAGUUUGUCUUCUAAUUUGCCUGUUGCCGUGUCACUGCUGAAGAACUGCACAAGUGAUUCAAAGUCAAAUCCAGAGGGAAAAUUGAUGAUGUGGACAGUAUGACAUUUAAUCCCCCCUCAAGCUAAAAACCCUUUUUAGCUUUAUAAAUCUAAAAAUCCUCCCUGAGCCUGUUUCAUUCUAUUCUGCAUUGGUUUUAUUAGCACCCUCAUCACCAGAGCAUCUGAACACCUUCGAGUAGUACAUUAAGCAACGUGACUAACAUCUGUCACAUACAGUUUUCUCGCUCUCUCAGCAUCCUUAAAAUGAAUUUAGUGCUUGUGUUGGAUCGAUAGCGCUGGAGACAGAUGGUCUCUGUUCAGCCCCAGCAGGGGCACAGCAUGAGGGAGACCCCUGGAUGGACCCCCAGCCUGCUGCCCUUCUGCCAUCACACCCUUUUUUGGUCCAAAUUUGGACCAAAUUUACUCUGAGCAGGACAGAGAAGUCAGAGCAAUGCUGGGAAGUCAGAUGAGGCACUCAGUGGUAAAUUUCUGCUGCUGGGAGCCUUCAACAGAGACAGCAGUUUGAGCCACUUGAACUCAUGUCAGUACAGGUCCUGUGUUGGGUAGGGCGGUAGUUCUAUCCUAUGGAGCAAAAUCUAAGCAUCCUGAGGCACUGUAAUUUCAAGCAAUAUGUUUUCUUAAUGGGCCAAGUAUGCUUUACCUAAUUUUGCUUUGAGUGCAUGGGAUUGUUAUUGCUCAGUGGCCUCACGCAGGUGUUUAAGCAGAUCUGUGGUGUGAUUUUUCAAUAGUGGCAUAGGGUUUUAUUGACUGUUACCUAAAGAGUAACUUCAGAGUAAAUGAGCAUUUGCAGCCAAUUGUGAUGGAUGCACGUGGGGCUAUGGCAGAAAACUCAUGAGCUGGUGACCUCUGUCACAGCCUGUUGUGUUUUGGGUAAGAGUAUAACGUAACUGGAAAAGGACUCUAUUUUUCAUACAGUAAGAAGAAUUGGGAGAAUUUAUUUAUGUUUCCCCUGAAAACUGUUGGCUUUUCAGUUCUGAUAACGUGAAGGUGUUGAGGAAAAAUCUAGGUAAAUAAAAUUCUGAUGUUUGUGAGGAUACUGGGGUAUGGGGUAUAUUUUGGUUUAUGAAUAUGCCUUGCAUGGCUGACUAGGGGACUCUGUGUGAUAAUUGAGAUUACAGCAGUUUUGAAGCAUGAUAGAACUCUGAUCCAAUGCAAAACUUUGCCUUGUUCAAUGCCCCAUCCUUGCAGAUAUUGAAGGUCAGGCUGGGCUGCUCUCUGAGCAACCUGGCUGAGCUGCAGAUGUCCCUGUUCACUGCAGGGAAGAUUGACUAGAUGACCUCUAAGGGUCCCUUCCAACUCAAAUGCUUCUAUGAUUCUAUAAAACUCAGAGGAGUAAUAAUCUUAACUUCUCACUGUUCCCUCCUAUCCAUAAAAAGCCAACUGAGGCUGGUUGGAAACCCAGCCCCUCCAGCAAGACUCAGUCAAGGCACAGUCUGAAGCUCUUCUCUGUACAAAACCCUAGAUUGUGCUACAGACCUAGCAGUAGUGGAAAUAUGAGAUAUCUGAUCAAGAAAGAGAAAUACAUCUAUUUCAGAAUACAUAAUCCUACCACAUAUGUGAAGUAGUUUAACCAUUAGCAAGUUGUCAAGCGUUAUUGAAUGGAGUUAAACUCUUUAUUUCUGUGCAGGAUCAAUUCUGUUCCCCCCCCCCUUUCUUCCCUUCCCAGUACAGUGAGCUUUUAUACGAUACACAUUGCAGCGCCUGGGGCAGAUGACACUUGCCAAGGGGCUUGAUGAUCAAUUCUGAUACAAAUCUGACAUGAAAAGUCUUGAGAGAAUCUGGAUCAGAUGAUCAAUGGAAGACAGAAAUCCACAUUUAAUGCUGUGCUGCUCCUAGAUGUCUAUGCCUGUCUCAAACUGAGAUCCAAAAGCAAGCACAAUCCACAAAGACAACAUAUGGACGGGUACAUGGACAGAGGUGUGAGGAUGGCAUUUCACAUGCCCUUUCUGAAAUGAAUAUCGUGGAAGUAUUACAUGUAGGACUGACAGCCCGUCAGGUUUAAGUAUGAAAUUAAUCAUAAAAACAUGGAUCAGAGAAAUGCUAGUGAUCACUUUACCACCAAGUCUGUGCUACAGAGUCCAUGGGCAGAAAAUAGUUUCCAUUUUGUUUUUAUUUCUGUAAGAAUCUGUUAGAUUUCUGUCUCUGAUUCAAAGAUGAAAGAGAGACCUAUAACCAGCCUCAGUCCUUGGAGCCAUGCCUUCAUUUACCACCAGUCGGCUUUGCCCCUCUCCCUAUUUCUCCCCAGGCCUGGCUGCAUCUGAGUACUCAUAAACGCACUUUAUUAUUUCUCCCCUCACAGUUGCUUUUUUCUUCCCACACCUGCCAACAUUAGCUCCUUCCCUUGAAGCGUGCUGCCGUACAGUCUAAUGCAUGUGAUCUUCAUGCCAAGAUGCUAUUUAAUUUCCCAACAAAGUUCUUUUGGCGUGGAAUGAGCAGUAAGAGCACCAGAGGGGAGGCAUAGAUGGAGUGGGAAGGGAAACGAGAAGGAAGAAGGACUCCAACGUACGUUGCCUCUGGCUUCAACCAUGAGUGGUUUCAGCAAGUGGCUGGGGAGCAGCGUGGGUGGGAUGGUGGUGGCAACAGGGGGUUCGUGGAUGGCAGGUUGCUGAAUCAGGAACCCUGACACUUGUGAAGUACUCUGUCAGGAACAUUAAGUAUCCAAAAGUGAUAAAGCUUCAAUUUGCUAGUCCAUUAGACUAAUUACUGCAAUAAUUAAGUAACUACUUGAUUAGAACUAAUGGGUACCUAAUUAUCCAGGAGAAAAGUAUCAGGUGGCAAUUAUCAGGUGGCAAUUAAUAGACUGGAGUUAAUGUCUUAGCACUGUCUUUGUAUGAAUUCAUAAGCAAGGUAAAGAAAACAAACAAUAACUUAUUAAUAUUUAUUGGUGCCACAGUGUUUUUCAGCUUGUUUCAUUUACACAGAACCAAUUAGUGAAAAGACAGUUAUUGUUGCAAAGACGUAAAGUGACUGAAGCAGGAGUUUGAUUUUAAAGGAACAGGAUCACAUUAGCACUUAUAAGCAAAGACAAAUGGAUAUCAGCCAGGGACUUGGUUCUGGUACUGCUAAUUCAUCAACAGAAGAAAUCAGAGUAAUUGAGCUCAGUAUUAAUAAUGAAACACGCAGGAAGGCAGCUCCGGUCUUAAUGGGGUUCACUUUGAUAUUGGCCCCUCCCUGGGUCUUCAUCAGCGUUUUCUACAACGCAUGGAAAACAGAGAAAGCACCUUCCUGAAUGAGUGGGAGCAUCCUGUGGGCAUGGGUGGGAGACACCAUAAUAACAUCUUCCAGAUCAAUGCCGCAAGCUCUCUGAAGGAGACAGCUUUCCUGGGCAGAUAAUGCCUGGUUGCAAAGUUGCUACAAAUGCAGUUUCCAUGAUGAAGGCAGUGGAACUGAAUUCUUGCCUGUCUGCUGGUUAACCUGUGUAGAGAAACCAUGGGGACGUUCCCAUUGCCACUAUUUCUCCUUAGCUUAGCACCCAUCUGAAACACCACUGGUAGUUUGUGUGAGAGAGGUCCAAAGCCAAACUGAACCUACUUUAGAGCUCAGAUGCUUUGAGUGUAUCUUUAUAGUUGCUGUUUUCUUUUGUUGGCCAUGCAAAUGGCCAGCUUCUCAGGUGAUGUACGUUGAUGUCCUUUCUUGGAUGUCAACACAACAGUAGUGAUUUAUGUGGAAUCAAACUAUGACCUAGGAUCUACAUUUCCCACUCUCCUAAUUCAAGAGGCCUUAAAUUUCCCAACAGAAAAAUGAGAAAUCACAGGGAAUUCCUUCCUGUGUAUUUUUAUGGCCAUAAAUGAUCAUUGUUCUUCUUAAAUGAGCUUCAGACCAAAACUAUUGCGCGUGCAAAGGAUCUCCUUGUCUCUCUGCGGGAGAGCUCAUAUUAGCAAUAAUUACUCUCAUGAGUAAGAAUUUCUACACUGUGAUAUACAGUGAGUUGGCAACUGCUGUUAGAGCACAGAAUGAAGCCUGGGUUCGCUCAUAAACUUUAAUCCUUUAAAAUUUAACUGUUAGCAAAUGAAAGACCAAAUUAUCAGAUGGAUUUAUGUCAGCGCAGUGAGACAGAGCUCUGCAAAGCUCCGCUUUGUGGGGGCUGAGGAUCUGGCCCUUGCAAUAGCUGUUCUCCCCCCUCUAUCCUUUUCUCCGUGGUAUAAAUAAAUGAAAGGUGUCCUAAUCAUAUUUUAGACUGUGUGCAGAGUCACAUGCUAAACCAUAAUGUCUCUGUAUUAGAACAUGAGGAAUGAUAAAUGGAGAUAAAUCUAAAAUUUAUAGAACAUGAACAUUUGCAUAAACUGCAAUAUCCAAACAUAUAGGCUGUUAAGUAACAAUUGUCACAAAGGGCAUAAAAAAUUCAACUUUGUUUCAUAAAAAGAUCUCAAAUUCCUAACAUGAUUAAGAUAAUAUAUCAUUUGUUCCUAUCUUAUUAAAGGCGUAAUUGUUGUUAGACACAGAAGUGGCAUUAAGUCUAAUCUGGCUUUAUAUAUGUACAAAUAGAAGGGGAGGUGAAUGUGAAAAUUGAUGCUUUUGGUGAUCCAUAGGCAUUUUAUUAAUGUUUGAAUAAUAACUGCCUGGAGGGCCUGUUAUAAAUUAAAGGGACGAAUUGAGAUAUAAAUUUUUAUGAGGACUAGUUAUACAUUUCCAUUAUGUGUUUAAAAAUGAAGGAAUUACUGUGAACACAGCAGAACUCACAUUUAUUUGAGGUGAUUUGGAUGGAAGGGAAGGUGCACUGAAGGAAGCUGCAUGCUGGCUGUAAGAAAGAUGUAUCUGUCCCUUUGAAGAGAUAUAUCAUAUGUCAUGCAUGAACUCGGUUCUACAGGAGACUUUUCUCUGCAGCUGAUUUCGCAUGAUUAUUUAUUUGACAACAGCAAGUGAUGAUAUAGCAAUGAGUUUAGGCCACUUAGAGAAGAAUGCUUAUUCCUAAAUCACAGAGGAGUUCCCCAAACCCAACUAUUGUCAAACCAGAGUUAAUCUAAUAGAGGAACCCAGUAAUCUCUCUGGCACUUAUUUCUCAUUAUUCCUCCUGUCUGGAUAUACACAUCUUCAUUUGCAGUGCAUCCACCGGCCCUGCCGUGUAUCUCAGAGCUUCCUCCUGCCCGUUGUUGUGGCUGUUUGCAGGAGCUCAGCUCUCAUUGCUGGGUGGGCACCGUAUUCCCUUUGCUAUCCACCAGAGCAGAUAUCCUGUAAGAUCCACAGUUAGUCCCAUCGAUGUGCUUUUCCCAUGACAUGGAGGGUGAAGAUAACCCAGUAUCUUCAACGAAGCAGGCACUUUGGCCUGAGAAUACAUCUUUUCAUGACAGAGAGGGUGCAUUAUCCCAGUACUUAGGCAAUCACUGACUGUAUAGGGGAACUCUUUUCCACUUCCUUGUUUAUUGCUGCUGACCCCUGAGGGCGAAGCCUUUUAGAUCAAAUUCUUCAGGUUAUUUUGUAUUUAACCUUUAUUUAAAGCCUUUAUUUUUCUUGAUUUCGGUAGAUGCAAGAAAACUGAUAUCCCAGAGGUCCUGACCUAUUUUCUCUGUGCGGCAGUUCGUUGUCUAUAAAACAAGGAGACUCAAACAAGUGGUUUGAGGAGGAAAGUGUUCAUUGGUGUGAUGCUGAGAGAGAUGACAAUGUAAUGCCAUCUGCAGAUACGCCAGACCAACACAGCAGCUGUGCUACUGCAUUCUGGUGGUGUUUUAUGGCAAGACACACAGCACAGCGGUCUUCCAUUCUGCUGUCUUUCAUGUAAAUGAAUUAAUUUGCAAUUUUUUGUUGUUGCUUCUCCCAAGCACCACUCUAAUCAAGCUCACGAGGAUUAGGCAAGUACUUCCUGUUUGGACUAGGCCUGAUUCCUUGUGAAAUACGUUUAGCUGGUGCUCUUGGCUUGCAAAGGGCCCAAAAUCUUAAAGAAAUUGAUAAAACAUUGAGACUUAGCUCAGCUUCGGUUCUCAACUUUGAAGCAUCACUCUUGGCUCCACCAAUCAGGGAGAUCACUGUGUACACUCAGAGAACAGUGGCUGGGUAUACUUUGAUCUACAAGCAACAUUUAUUUUUUCCCCCAGGUGAGAAUGAGAAAAACGACAAAAUGUCUUCAUGGUUCUCAUUAAAGGUCCUACCUUUAGCAGCCCUUUGAAUCUGGAUCAGCUCCCCAGGUAGAUUACUCCCUAUGUAGAUCACUCUGUAACCUCACUUUGUGAUAGUAAGAGGAAUGAUCCACUUAUUUCCUUGUUUCUUGAUGCACUUGGUUCAGCUUUCCAGGACUUCGUUUCUUUUCUUGCAGUCUUAAAAUUUGCAACCCUUCGAAUCAAGUUCAAGUGUGCCUUUCCUUCAAGGAUAGAACCAUGCUUGCAGCUAUCAUCGAGUAAGUACUCGCAUAAUGAAGUUUUCUCAUAACUUCAUACAACCGACCUGAUUAUGUGGGAUCUGUUUUUGAAAACACCUUCUGACUAGCAACAAAGCAACAAAGACUCUUCUCCAGUCAGUGAAUAAUUAGACAAAAGAAUCCCACUCUUUCCCCAAACUAUAUUUUUUUUCUCUGUGUGUUAUUCAAAGGACAAAUUCACAAGAGUUUCUUCAGGCAAGGUGCAGGGGAACAUUAUAGAGAGUAAGUUCUAUGACAGAAUUAGCAAAUGUAUUAAGUACAGUGCCAAUCUGGUAUAGCAGAAAUGACUAAAUACCCAUCAGGGCCUGUCACUCGUCAAGAAGUGAAAUCUUAGACCCAUUUAAGUCAAUGACAAAUGUUCACAGAAUCUGGCUGCAAGUUAAUAAAUGUUUGGAGCCUGUAUAACUCAGACUCUGAUAUUUGUCAAAUUAAUUAUUUGAUUGAUCUUAUUGUCUGUCAAAAAAUUCUUUGUGGAGUUGGAAUGCUUUGUGUUUUACUAUCUAUUAUUUUGAUGAAGAAAACCUCAUACAAGAAUGGGGAUAUAUCAUUGCAAGUUUUAUGCUGGGUCACAGACAGUUAUUAUACAUAAUAUGAAAUCAUGUAGCUAAAUAUGGAAUUGUAAAAUGUUCAAAAUGGACCACGGCUGGGGUUGUAUCUUCUGCCUCCUUUUGGUCAUUUCUUGGUUUGGGAGUGCUUUAACAUUCAAUCUGAACUUUCUUUUACCAUAUUCUUCUCACUAGGCUACAUAUACACAAAAUGAAAGAAAAUAACUCCACACGUACACCAAUUCCUUCAGCUUACCCUUGCCUCUAACACAAAACACAGGAUUUCAAGACUAUAUACAUCAGGUGUUUUCAGCAAAGUAGCAGCAGCAGCAGCAAAUCAUAGACAUUUGUCAUUCCUUGGAGCUGUCUGACAGUUCUGACAAUUCAUUAGGCUGGGCUGAAAAGAGGUUUAGAAAGCAAAGGAAGGAUCACAGGUAGUGGAGUUGCUUUUGCAUGAUCCAGUAAUAGCUGAUUUGUAUCAUUUUUGGUGAUGGAUACACUGUUCAGAUUAAACUCAGCUGAAUUUUUUGCCCUUAUUCUUCUCUUUUUCUCCUCCACAAGGAGCUUCUGGGCACAUUAGUCUAGAUUUAGA